UAACUGGGAUUCUGUGGAGAUCU
rnacentral:miRNA from 1 species